rnacentral:rRNA from 1 species
UGGGGAAUAUUGCGCAAUGGAGGCAACUCUGACGCAGCGAUGCCGCGUGAGUGAAGAAGGGAUUCGUUCUGUAAAGCUCUGUUACCGGGGAAGACGAUGACGGUACCCGGUAAGCAAGCCCCAGCCAACUACGUGCCAGCAGCUGCGGUAAUACGUAGGGGGCGAGCGUUAUCCGGAAUUAUUGGGCGUAAAGGGCACGCAGGUGGUUGUUUAGGUGCGGUGUAAAAGUCCAGGGCUCAACCCUGGGAGGUCACCGCAAACCGGGCAGCUGGAGUAUUGUCGAGGCAGGCAGAAUUCCUGGUGUAGCGGUGAAAUGCGCAGAGAUCAGGAGGAAUACCGGAGGCGAAGGCGGUCUGCCAGGCUUAUACUGACACUGAGGUGCGAAAGCGUGGGGAGCGAA